GUGGAAGCUAUGUAAGGACUGGAGAAACGCGUGUUCUCGUGCAAACAAACCCCAAAACAAAACAAGAGAUACUGCCUUUGGACUGGACUUUGUCCAGCCUGGAGUCACAGUGCCAGUCAAGAGCCACUCCAGAAUACUUGUGCCUGGAUCUUCACUAGGGUGUGACCUUUUAGCACGUCCGGCCUCUUCUGUGAUCCUGAAGUCACGUUUGACACUGGCGGCAUCCACAUCCGUUGAAUGGAAAGCUUCUCCAAGCAGGGGCCUCUCCCUUCCUCUUUACAGAGCCCAGCAUGCAGGAAGUGUGCAGCAUGUGUCUGUUCCUAGAUGGACAAAUGCAUCCUUGAACGAGGAGCUGGCACCUCUCUCUUGAAGAUCUGUUUAUUUCAUGUCAUGUAAGGCAUUGUUUCUGAAACUAUGGCUAAAUUUAGACUUUCCUUCUGCUGGGAGUCAUGGGAUGGGUUAGAAAUUUUUUCCUAGCCAGGCACAGUGGCUCACGCCUGUAAUCCCAGUGUUUUGGGAGGCUGAGGAGGGAGGGUGGCUUCAGCCCAAGAGUUCUAGACAAGUUUGGGCAACAUAGCAAGAUCCUGCCCUACAAAAAAUGAAAACAAAAAUAGCUGGGUGUGGCAGGAUGUGUCUGUAGUCUCAGCUACUUAGGAGGCUGAGGUGGGAGGAUUGCUUGAGCCCAGGAGGUGGAGCCUGCAGUAAGCUGAGAUUGUACCACUGCACUCCAGCCUGGAGUGGACGGCAAGACCCUGUUUCAAAUAAAAAAAAAAAAAAAAAAAAAAAAAAAAAAAAA
rnacentral:lncRNA from 1 species